AUUAACGCUAGCGGCAGGCCUAAUACAUGCAAGUCGAACGGUAAGGCUCUUUCGGGAGUACACGAGUGGCGAACGGGUGCGUAACGCGUAUGCAACCUACCUUUAACUGGAGGAUAGCCCCGAGAAAUCGGGAUUAAUACUUCAUAACAAUAAGAAAUGGCAUCAUUUUUUAUUUAAAGCUUUAGUGGUUAAAGAUGGGCAUGCGUGACAUUAGUUAGUUGGUGAGGUAACGGCUCACCAAGACAGCGAUGUCUAGGGGUUCUGAGAGGAUUUUCCCCCACACUGGUACUGAGACACGGACCAGACUCCUACGGGAGGCAGCAGUAAGGAAUA
rnacentral:rRNA from 1 species